GACGAACGCUGGCGGCGUGCCUAACACAUGCAAGUCGAACGGACCGAAUUAGAGCUUGCUCUGAAGAGGUUAGUGGCGGACGGGUGAGUAACGCGUGAGUAACCUGCCUAUAAGAGGGGGAUAACGUCUGGAAACGGACGCUAAUACCGCAUAACAUUUUUGUAUCGCAUGAUACAGAAAUCAAAGGAGAAAUCCGCUUAUAGAUGGACUCGCGUCCGAUUAGCUAGUUGGUAGGGUAAAAGCCUACCAAGGCGACGAUCGGUAGCCGGACUGAGAGGUUGAACGGCCACAUUGGGACUGAGACACGGCCCAG
rnacentral:rRNA from 1 species